rnacentral:lncRNA from 1 species
GGACUGUGCAAGAUUCUGGGGAUAGAGCAUGCAGCUAAAAAAGGCCCCUGUCCCAAUGAGUCAAAGGUAUAUCAAAACUCUGUACUACUCCACCUCUGUGGUUGAAGAUCAAGGGCUCAAGUACUGAGAAAGGCCACCAAGAAACCCAAGCAGUGUGACUCUUAAUACAAAACAAGAAAUUAAUCUACUGCUAGCUUAAAAUCUUCAAACGUUUGCAUUAAACUGAGGGGAUUCUACAAUGUGGCAGUUCCAGUUUAAAAGUGGAGACAGCUCUGAACAAACCAUGACAGUUUGCAUGGAACGGAGGGGUUCCACAUGCUAAAACCAGAAAAGUCCUGAGAAAACUGGGACCCAGUUUCUGGCUUAGGAAUGAAGUAAUCAGUCUAUGAGACAGGGAAGGCAGCAACAGGAACAGAUUCAGAUUUUGUAAUUGAGUUAAACACCUACGAUAGAUUAAAACAGCCACAAAAGAAAUUCUUUGCAGCUCUUUCCAUGAAGAGGAGGAGUCAAUUUCCCCACCCCUUGAAUCUGAGCUGAUAGAGACUUGGUUUGACUGAAUGAAAGAAAAUGACUUUGUGUGAAUUCCAAGCCUAGGCCUUGA